GUCAUUAGUUGGUCUAGUGGUAUGAUUCUCGCUUAGGGUGCGAGAGGUCCCGCGUUCAAUCCGCGGAUCGGACC
rnacentral:tRNA from 1 species